CUUGUCAACUGAUUUUUUCUUAAUUUCUGUGAUACUUCUUUUCACAUGCUAAUAUGUACAUAAAGAAAUUAUCUGUCUUAUUUCAGUGAUACUCUUCAUAACUGAUUAAAUGCUUUUAGUUUCUAAGCUAAAGUUUGAAUGGCAUGGCAGGAAAAUUGUUGGAAACAGCGUGUUGGAUGCUUGGAAGCUUUGGUCAGAAUUCCAGAUUCAUCUCUUGUCAAUAAACUGCUCUUAUCAGCAUGCUAGCAAGACUCGUUAAUAACGAAAAUACUGCACAGGAAAUUCCAAAGAUGUAAAAAGUCAACGGAAUGUGAAGGCCAGGUUACAUGAAAAUGGUUAAUAGCAGGUUCUAUGGGUUUGGUUUAUAUUCCCCAGUUUUUGUGAUGCUCUUUUUCUUUUUCCUUCUCGAUUUUCUCCUUGUGGAUUUGGGUCUUGAACUGGAGAACAAAAGCUUCUUCUUCUCAAGUGUAGUAAAACAAUAUAUAGUGCAUAUAUGCAAUUUAGAUUCAGUUCUUAGCAGUGCUGCCACAAAUCGUUAGGAGGUUGUGUCUGGUGGGAUGAGAAGGCUUUUAUGUAAUAAGAUGGCAGGGAAAUCUGUGCCCGAUUCAGUAAGUAAUUUUACAAAUGGAAAUACAGUAAUAAUCGAUCAAUAAAAUGAUUCUUUUCUGUA